AUUCCAGUUCCCAUACGAACCUGAAAUUUAAGCAACAUCAAGCCUGGUUAGUACGUGUAUGGGUGACCACUUGGUAAUACCAGGUGCUGUAAG